rnacentral:rRNA from 1 species
GNAGCUAACGCGUUAAGUCGACCGCCUGGGGAGUACGGCCGCAAGGUUAAAACUCAAAUGAAUUGACGGGGGCCCGCACAAGCGGUGGAGCAUGUGGUUUAAUUCGAUGCAACGCGAAGAACCUUACCUACUCUUGACAUCCACGGAAUUUGGCAGAGAUGCCUUAGUGCCUUCGGGAACCGUGAGACAGGUGCUGCAUGGCUGUCGUCAGCUCGUGUUGUGAAAUGUUGGGUUAAGUCCCGCAACGAGCGCAACCCUUAUCCUUUGUUGCCAGCACUUCGGGUGGGAACUCAAAGGAGACUGCCGGUGAUAAACCGGAGGAAGGUGGGGAUGACGUCAAGUCAUCAUGGCCCUUACGAGUAGGGCUACACACGUGCUACAAUGGCGUAUACAAAGAGAAGCAAACUCGCGAGAGCCAGCGGACCUCAUAAAGUACGUCGUAGUCCGGAUUGGAGUCUGCAACUCGACUCCAUGAAGUCGGAAUCGCUAGUAAUCGUAGAUCAGAAUGCUACGGUGAAUACGUUCCCGGGCCUUGUACACACCGCCCGUCACACCAUGGGAGUGGGUUGCAAAAGAAGUAGGUAGCUUAACCUUCGGGAGGGCGCUUACCACUUUGUGAUUCAUGACUGGGGUG